GAUGAACGCUAGCGGCAGGCUUAACACAUGCAAGUCGAGGGGUAGAAGUUGCUUGCAACUUUGAGACCGGCGCACGGGUGCGUAACGCGUAUGCAAUCUACCUUAUACAGAGGGAUAGCCCAGAGAAAUUUGGAUUAAUACCUCAUAGUAUAAUUGAAUGGCAUCAUUUAAUUAUUAAAGUUCCAAAGGUAUAAGAUGAGCAUGCGUCCUAUUAGCUAGAUGGUAAGGUAACGGCUUACCAUGGCAACGAUAGGUAGGGGUCCUGAGAGGGAGAUCCCCCACACUGGUACUGAGACACGGACCAGACUCCUACGGGAGGCAGCAGUGAGGAAUAUUGGACAAUGGGCGCAAGCCUGAUCCAGCCAUGCCGCGUGCAGGAAGAAGCAUCUAUGGUGUGUAAACUGCUUUUGUACGGGAAGAAACACUCCUUCGUGAAGGAGCUUGACGGUACCGUAAGAAUAAGGAUCGGCUAACUCCGUGCCAGCAGCCGCGGUAACAC
rnacentral:rRNA from 1 species